rnacentral:lncRNA from 1 species
GAAUAUAUCGUUUAUGAAACUGUUCAUGAUUCCCAUAGCCUUGCUUGAGAUCCCGAUAUCUGGGUGGACUUGCUUAAGGACCUUAAAGAUGUAGAUCUUGUAAGUCUCGACGCCCUUCUUGGCUUUCUUCUUCUUCUUGUCUCCAGCCGCACCUUCCUUGGGAAGCUUCUUGCCGGCCUUUGGCUUCUUCUCCGCUGGCGCUUUCUCACCGACGGUGGUCUUUUUCUCCUCAGUUGGCUUCUCAGCUGGCUUCUUCUCGGCUGGCUUUUUCUCGGCUUUUGGCGCCAUGUAGGGUGCUCUUCUUUUUGAUCUCGGUAAACAAAGAAAUCUGAU